AUUUCUACCUAUUCAGCUUUAUUCGUUUAUCUAAAGACAUAGGGUGUUUUUUGGACUUAUUCCAGGCUUUCCCUGAUGCCUUGUUCCAUCAAUUGCUUGUGGCCAUGGCUCAUCCGAACAUGAAACACAAAUUGGAGCACAUGGUGUCUUCUCUAUGGUGCUUAUGCCAUCAAUGGUUUCUCCUUAGUUGGACCAGAAAACAAAGAUGGCUAUGAAGGUACAGAGUAAUAGCUUCCACAUUCAGCAUGAUAGUUUCUCUGAAGCAGAACACUUAAAUGGGAAACUGCUAGAAGGAAACACGGUUGCAGAAGUUACUGGGGAUAAAAAUGCUGUUCAUCCAUAUCGUGGUUAUAGCUUUACUCGUGCACUAACUGAUGGAAAAGAGGAUUUAGGUUCUCUUAGAUUGAGCAGUCACCAAGUGAGUCUGUUGCUUUCUUCCAUCUGGGUUCAAGCAACCUCUGUAGAAAAUGGGCCUGCAAAUUUUGAGGCAAUGGCACACACUUUUAGCAUCUCUUUAUUGUUUACUCGUUCUAAGGCAUCCAAUUACAGGGUUUUGGCUAGAUGUUUCCAAUUAGCAUCCUCCCUUCGAAGCAUCUAUAUUCAUUUAUAAAAUGUUAUAAUUUAAGUGAUAAUUUAACCCAAUCCUUCCUUUGUUUUUUCGUUUCUUUCUUCUUUUUCUAAAAAAUAUUCAUUUAUAUUCAACGUUGUGCUUCUAUUACCUUUAUUAUUUAAGCUUUUUGUACUUUAUUUUCGACUCCUCUGUCACUCUAUUUCGGACUCACUCAUCACUUGUCACAAUUUUUUGAUGGAUAUGAAUAUCAUAAGACAUCAUUUGAGUAGAUUUACCAUUUUACUCAUAGCCACUUUGGCCUGUCUAUACCUUCAUUUGGAAAGUAAAUGUUCUCAUUACAAUACUCAAAGGUACGUUAUAGGUCUACUUUGCUCGUACUACGAAUGGCAUUAAUGUUGCUGUGAAAGUUCAGCAUCCUAAUUUGCACCAUGUGGUGGUGCGAGAUGUCUAUAUUCUUCGUCUUGGGGUUUGUAUUGACUAUUGUUGACCUUGGUUCUUCACCAUUAUUGUUCCAUCCAACAUUAAAUGUUAAUCUAAUGUGUAUAUUAAUAAGUUCAGUUAGGGCUGCUGCAAAAGAUUGCCAAGAGAAAGAGUGACCCUCGCCUAUAUGCUGAUGAGCUUGGGAAAGGUUUUGUUGGUGAAUUGGAUUACACUUUAGAGGCUGCAAAUGCUUCAAAAUUUCUGGUAAUGAAUGACAUUCAUAUUAAUUGGAUUAAGUUUACAUAAUGAGGAGAUCUAUAAACUGGAUAUUUAGAGCAUUAAUGAAAACUUUCAUUAGUGUUUUGCUCUUUUGGCUGACUUGUUAUAAUACAUGCUUCUACAAAUUUGUCUCAUCACAAAUUUAGUUUUUUAUUAGGAGCAGUUGUUGUUGUUGUUGCAUUAUAUUGCUCUCACGGGGACACAGAAAUUGUUGAGUUCUGAUCAGUGCAUAUAGUGCUCAAAUAUAUUCUUGACAAAAGAUCAAGAUAUAUGGUAAUUGAUUCUUUUGACUUCACAUGUCAUUUGGAACAGUCAAUCACUAUGUGUAGGACUUAUUUUUACCCCCAUCAAGCAAUCAAUCCAGAAUUUCUUUCUAGUCAAAACUUGUUCAGAAAUGGGGAGUUUGCUGAGAGGAAGGACAAUGGGAAGAUAGCUGAAGGAUCGAAAGGAGAGGAAAAAGCAGGAAAUUAGGACUCAUAAUGCUCAGUUGCAUGCUGCAGUAUCCGUGGCAGGCAUAGCUGCUGCCGUUGUGGCCAUUGCAACUUCAAUAGAGUGUACAUUGUAGAAUCAAUAGAGUGUACAUAGCUGCCAUAAAGUUCUACACUUACCAUAUGAGUGGUCUCUAGCUUAGCUUGCAUUGUUCAAGAAAUUUUAGAAAAUUCUAAGGAUGCUACUCUACUAAUGUUUCUGAGA